CCCAAAGUGCUGGGAUUACAGGCAUAAGCCAUCAGGCCCGGCCCAUCUCCUCUUCAUCAUGGGGCACCCCUAGAGGGCAGGACUCCUUCCAGGCUGAGAGGAGGGAUUGGAAUACUUUGCUUUCACAUCUGGGCUCCCUACACACCCUUCUCCAGAAGAGGUGUCCACGGCUCCCAGCAAGAAGAGGACAUUUCAGUGUUCUUUCCGCUCCAACUCCCACGGAAGCUGGAGCUCCAAAUGCAGCCAGCACAAACUAUCUCAAAUCACAAGGGUCCAUUGGAAUAAGCUUGUGGCCGUUAGCUCAGGAAAAUGGAAACCAGUGAAGCCUUGCUUCUUCUGAUCCCCACAGACCCCCUCCAGUUGAAUGGGAGGUCACUGAGCUUGCAUCAUUUUCUCAGCAUCCAAAGUUUUCCUCUGUUCACCCCAGCACCCCAUUCAGUAUUCUCAGUCAGUGUUUGUGGGGGUUGUAGCUAAAAGUUCCAGUGUGGAGCCGCAGUCACAGCCUGCAAGCACAUCUCCAUGACAGGCAAUUUUGAUUUCAGUUGAACAGAAGCAAGCUUCAAGUUCCAAAGAAAGCCAAGUUGCGUGAGCAAAAUGCUUACAAGAUUCCCGAGUUCACACAUCGCCUUGAGAUUGUCCCAGAAGCCUUCCUGAGAGGUAGUGGCCGCCUGGGCAGUCUGCUUGGUGAUUGGGAAUGAUGAUGAAAGCCUGGCCAGUGUGUUGGGCGGGCUUCAAGUGAACACAUAUUAUUGGCUGAUUACAGGAUCGGACGGUUUAAAAAUGUACCACGUCGUGUUCUUCAUGUCCUGAAAUGUGUUCUUCAAGCAAAUCUCUGGGGCCUUUCCUAGACCUGGUAGUCCAUCGCUGCCGUCCUCUUAUGACUUUGGAGUUGAGCUCUGCCAGUCCUUUGGAGUGCUGGUGCUUGUCUUGUUCGGGGCCCUCAGAAGCAACCUUGAUACAAGGAUCCAGACUCUGAGCCACAGAGGGAUUGUCUUGGUCUCCCGUGGCCUCCGGGGCACCCUUCCUUUUCUCCCUGACGCAGCCAGCUGUAUGAUUUUUCUCCCAUUGUUGCCAUGUGAGGUACUCUUGAUAAAGGUAUUACAAUAGUAACGUUGUGUGAUGUGGUCCAGCUUCCUGGGCAAGUCAUCCCCCAUUUUUGUGUCUCAGUUUCCUCACCGCUCAGACGCAGGCCGAGCAAAGCUGCCGAGAAGAAAUUCCGCGUCUUCCAGGACUGGAAAGAAACAGCCCUCAGCGUCUCCACCUGAAAACACCCAGCCAGGUGUGUGGUGUUUCCACUAAGCCCACUGUUCUCUCAGGAGCUCCAGGUGGAAGACUUCACCAUCCUUCCGUGGAGAGAUAGAAGUGGACGGCACCAUUUGGAAAAGGUAUUUUCUCACAGGCAUGACAGUCACCUGUUAGGUGAGGUCGUCCUCACCCCUGACGUAUCUCUGGAAUUAAUCUCUCUGUGUUCUCUUCAUAGAACUCAGCACCUUAUCUUUGCCUGGAUUGCUUAAACAGCUAAAACAGCCUUUUAAAGAAGCAUAAUAUUGAAAACAAUCGUCCUAGUUCCCAUGUCUUAGACAUCCUCGUAAAUAUCUGCUGGGCAUGACCUCCUCUUCACAUGCCCCUUUCGGAGAGGGACUGAAACCUCCCCUUUCACAAAGAAGGAACAGCAGGCGGCAAACAGCAGAGCUGGGAUUUGAACUCAGGUCUCCCCAGCUGCAGGGAGGCAGGGCCAUUAACUUUAUACGGAAAGAUAUGCAUUUUAAAAUUGAAAACAAAGUAUGCAAAGAACUCAUGGAAAACCAGAGAGGAAACAAGGAGAUGACACGGAACAGCAAAAGAAGGACAGAUAAUAGAAAAUGCAAAAUCAGAAAAUAAAAAGUCUAUUUUAUUUUAUGUUGAACUUGGGUUUUUUGCAGUCUAAGUGGCAGGAGCAAUUCCUCCUUCUUUUUGCUAAUGAGACUUCUCUCCGCUGGCAGUUGGAGGCAUUGCUUUGGACGCCACAUUUGACAACCCCUCGCUGGCCUUCCGGCCUCCACUCUGGCCCCUGCAGACCACCCUCCCCGGCUGCCAGGACAUCCUCCUAGAAUGCAAACGUGGCCCCGCCACUUCCCACUGCACAUUUCUCAAUGGUGCCCACUGUCAGCUAGGUCAAGUCCCAGCAGGCCCCAGGCAACCUCUGCAGCCUCUCACCCCCCAUCCCUCCCUGCGAGGAGCCCCCUUCGGUCUCUGCUGGACGUGAGGUUUACUCUCCCACGCACCCCUCUAGAAUCCCCCUGCCCUGACCCCUCUUCUCCAACUCAGGAAAUUCUUGGGCUCCUUGGAGGGUCGCUGUAACAUCGAUAGCUUAUUCUUUGCCACUGUAACGGCGUUCCCAGGUCUGUGAUUGGCUGCGCAUGAAUCUGUCCUCUCCGUUACUUCCAGAGCUCCGUGAGAGCAGGGCCAGUAUCCUGUUCAUCUGUCUCUCUGGUGCCUCAUUGGAAAAGAGCAUGGGAGAGGCCAAAAAAUGAAAAAAAAAA
rnacentral:lncRNA from 10 species